CACUCAGUAUUUCUCAAUUUCUUUGAAUCAAACAACCCUCAAGGUCACUUCCUUAAGUAACUCAAGUUAGAGCAUCCCAUUUUCCAACAAUACUAACAUCAGAUAUUUUGAUCAGUAAUUAUAUAUGAGAGAGAUAACAGAAUUGAUUGAUGUAAUAUGAUGAUGCUGCACUAAGUAGCUUACAUCUGUUCACUCUUAGUUCUCAUCAAGAGCUCUAUUACUGUUCCCAUUUUUUAAUGAAGAAAAUAAGCCAAGAUGGAUUAAAUCAAGUUUAUAUACCUUUAUAUAGAAUGGAAGCUGGGACUUAAACCCAGAAAAACGUGGCUGUGCGGCUCAUGUUCUCAACUAUAUGACUGUUGUGCAAGCUCUGUGUUCUAGUGAGAAGUUCACAUAAGCAGAGGUGUCAAUCCUUUUAGUUAAAUAAACAGUCUAAUUGCCAUUCGAUGUAGUCGAGGUUAUAACACAAGCCUGAAAUACAGAAGGCAAUCGUAAAUAUUAGUUACCUUUCUUUCCACAUUCUUCAGAGCAACUUCGCAUAAGGAUUAUUCAGGGGGAAAAAAGAGUUAGCAGCAACUAUUUAGGCUCUGAAGAAUAGAUUUUAAGUGUUUGAAGAUUUUAGAUGUGCAUAAUUUAGGUCUUUGCCUCUCUGUGAAGAGAUUUAUACACACCACGCUGAGGUCUAUGCCAGAUUGAAAUUUCUCAUCUGAGCUCCAUUUGUUGAGAACCUGAAACCCUGAGAAUGUUUCCUUUGACAAAAUCCCAAUGGCUCUUAAAUCACCUAUCUUCAAGGAAAGUGAAAGAGAAGGGACAUAUUUGAGGCAUGAAGGAGAAAUAUCACUUUGAAGGUGAGAAUUCCCAGGGAAAUUGGGCUGUUCAGCUAAAAUGAAUUUAUCUGCCCCUCCCAAUGGAUGCCCCCCCUCCUCCGCUAACACCAUGUAUUGUUUACUCUGCUCUUUUAUUCCUUGUCCCUGGGAAGAAAUUUGGUAUUGUGCUUGCCUUUUAAAUGAUUUCAAAACUUCUAUUCACUACCUACUUUUAACUGUUCUACCUUCUACUGCCUGCUCUGCCAUCUCUGAGAAACACUUUAUGCUGGCACUUUUUUUUUUUUCCUUCACAAAAGACUCUCACAUAGCCCAGAAUACCUACAGAAACCAAAAUUACUUAGCUUGGCAUCUAAAGGCCUGAAAGUCGUAAGAUUCCCAAUGUUUUCCAAUUAUUUCACUAGUACAGAAUAUAAAUUUACCAUAGAAACAAGACUUACUUAUUCAUUUGUUUCUAUCUUUCUUUACAUUAUUUAAUCAAAUUACCAAAGCAUAAAGGCUCCCCCAGCUCUGCCUUUGUUUAUAUUCUCUUUGUACAGAACUAUAAAAUCUUCUGACCAUCUAAACUCUUGAUGGGUUAUAAUUUGAUAUCUCCAGCCUAGAACCGUAUUCUGAAUUACAGAUUCAUCUGUUUAACUGCCUUGUUUGUAUAUCCACUUCCAUGAUACUUGGCUGAUUCACAUAAGAUAGGUUAGGUAUCUUCAAUUCUCUGUACUUUGAAUGCCUCAUUUGUCAAAGGAGGAGAUGGGUCACAUCUCUCACACAGGGUUGGCCUGAAGAUUGUGUGUAACGUGCAUCAAAGAGUGUCUGGCAUGUGGUAAGUGCUAUGUAAGCUAUUACUGGUUUUCAUGCUGAAUGUUGCAGUUGUGCUAUGUCCACCUUGGCCAUCACCAGCAACACACACAAGUAUCUUUUCUCCCUCAGUCUUUCCUAUUUAAACAAUACUUCCUACACUUAAUUGCUCUGACCAAACUUGGAUAUUAUCUUCAGUUUCCAUUUUCCCUCACCUUUCAAACUUAAUUUAUCACAAACUCCUGUCUGUCACAACUAAGAAAAACAUCUCAAGUCCAUUUACUUGUCUUGUUUUCGACUUCCACCACCAUAUGGACAUCUUCCUCACCUCUCACGUAGACCACUGCCCUUGGCUUACUAACAGGCUUGUGUUUCCACUCUUCUCCACUUCUGUUCAUAAAACAGCCAGAGUGAACAUUUAAAAUAUAAAUUUAAAUUUAGAAAACUCAUCCAUUGUUUCUUAUUUAUUUUAGGAUUUAGAUAUCCCUCAAUUUUACCAUGGUCUAGAAAAUGCUCAUAAUUUGCUUCUGUGUAUCUCCAGCUUCAGUUGAUUUCCAUUUCCAUGAAUCUUACUGGAUCCUAGACUCUCCUCUGUCUCUCUCUAACAUACAAGGUCUCUCCUACAUCUGAGAUGGUGCAUAUCUUGUUUCAUUUGUUUGAAAGGUGAUUUAAUAACCUUAAAAUUAUGUCUGCCCAGUUUUCGUAAUAGCUCACGAUUAUAUGAGCUCACAAUUAUAUCCAAACCUCCUAUAAAAACGCCACCUCAGAGAGGACUUCACAUUCAAUUUAGAGUGGACCCUCCCUGAUAUGCUUUAUCUCAUCCUUUUAUUCAUCAUUUUCAUAGCACAUGGCUCAGUUGUAAUGACUUUAUUGAUUUAUUGUAUACUUUUUGAUGUAUGCCUCCCCCUCAAAAAUGUAAGAUCCAUUAGGGCAAGAAUCUCAUUGGUCGUACUCACUGCCACAUCCCCAUCAUCUUGUCCUCAAUGGAUAUUUAUUGAAUGAAUGAAGGACCCAGGUACCUUUAAAAAAAUCCUUUAUGCCAUUCAGCUGGUAAAAUAUUUUCUUACAACACACCAUGCAUUACAAUUUCCCUCAGUUUUAACUUAUUGCUUACUUUCUUAUUCCCCUUCUAGAUUCCAAGGCUUCUGAUAGCAUGGACUCUUCAUAUUUACCAUUAUAUCACAAAUGGAAACAUGUUGGUCUGAUAUUUCAUGAAGCACGUGGCCUGAUAUGAUUAAUCAGUAAGUGAAGGCCCUGUGUUUGGACUAUGGUGUAUGUCAUUCUAUAGUCACUUAUUUAAUCAACAUCCAUUGAACAUACUCUGUGUUAAGCAAACUGUAAGCCCUGGAGAGACAGGAAUGUUUAAGACAGGCAUGGGUUUGGCCUAUACUGUGAAGCUCACAGUCUAUGGCAGGGUUUCCUAACUAUUGCCUUUUGGAGCUGGAUAGCUCGUUGCAGGGAUCUAUCUUGUGCAUUGUAGGAUCUUUGGCAGCAUCCCUGGCCUCUGUUCACUAUGUGCCUGUAGUAUGCCUCCUCUGAUUCCAGCUUUCGCAACCAAAAGUAUAUUCAGGCAUUUCCAAAUGUCCUCUGGAGGGGAUAGUCCCCUCCUGGUUGAUAACCUUAUUGGUCAGGUAAAAGAGACAGAUGUUGUUAUGUACACAGAAAUGUGUGUAAUUACAGAUUGUGAUGAGUGCUCUGGGAAAACAAGUAAAAAAUAAAACCUGAAAUGUUAGGCUCUAACUGGGGAGACUGAUUUAAAAUGGUGGUUGCAGGGUGUCAGUGGAUUUGUGUUAUUGAUGAUCAAGUGAUGUUUAGGCUUUGGUCUGUGGGACGAGUAAGAUGACAGGUAAGGGAAGGAGUUGGAAGAAGAAGGUUUCGGGCAGAAGGAAUAACAUGUGUGGAAGUCAUGAAGCAUCACACGGUGUGGUUUAUGCAUAGAACUAGUGCAUGGUGACAAAGAUGCACAGUAGCAUGUGAGGGAGCUGGGGAGUUAGGCAGAGGCAAGGUCAUGCAAGGUGGGAGCCAUUAGGAACUUAGGGUUUUCUCCUAAGAUUAAUGGAAAGAAGUUAAAGUUUGAAGCAGCAGGGGUGGAAUAGGGAAACUCAAAAUAGAAUUGGAUUUCUAUAAACCAAACUUUAUGGUUGUAUAAUGAAGAAGGAGGCUAUUAUAGGAAUUAGAGUGAGGGAUGAGGGUGAUGUAAUCCUGUGGAACAGUGUUGGGCACAGAAAAAUGUGGAUGGCUGAUAAAAAUCACCUUGCUGGUGUGGAUAAGAGCUGGGUGGAUUCAUACAUUUCCCGAGGGAAAAUAUCCUCUAGUCGGAUGCUAUUCUGUGUGGAGAACAUCAAGGCGAUAUUUUCUUAUGACCCUUUGGGGUAUAUUUAUCAACUGUGCUCCUUCUUUCACACUGAGUCCAGCUCCUGAGUCAGUUUCUCUUGCACACAUCACAGAUGGUUCCCACUCUUUCUCCCCUCUGGAGAGGCCACACCUUCUCCCCGCAGGUAUGAGCAUGUGUGCGUGUGUUUGGUGUGGAAAGCGGGGAGCAAAUCAAGCAGAAUGAGUCUCAGAGUCCAGAGACCUGAAGUACAAAGGAUCCCAGGGAAAAUUGUGGGUUUUCCUCUAGCCCUCCACCUGCGCCGAGCGGGGCCAUUAAUUAGCAAUGCAGUCACAAGCUGACAGCUUGGGCAGGGAGCCCUAAUGCAGUGGGAGGGGAGCGAAGACAGUCUUGCUGGGGAAGUUGUUCCUGAUUUAGAAAUACACCUGAUUAUUAUGGUGGCACCCGUUGGUGAUUUCAUAGUUAAGGGUCUGUCCGUUGUCUUCAUCCAAACCCCUUGUUUUCACACAUUUCUAACACAGUGAAAGAAAUGCACUCCCCUUCACGUAGCAUACAAACCAAGUCUUGUUUUCAAACAUGAAAAAUCGAUUAGAUUCUCAUUCACCAGGAAAUACAGGUUACUGAAUUUGCUCAACUCAAGAUUAUUUUAAAUCUUUUUUGUUUGUUUUUAAGCACAGAUCACAUUGUGUCUUCACUGGCAUGGACAACAGCAAUCAAUGGUGUCUGCCCUCUUAUUACAGGAUGAGUACAGUGAAGUUGACCACUGAGAUUUUAGAAAAUGCUUUCAUUGAUGAUGUAGCUGUCCAACAGCCGCUUUUGAAACUUGCUUAGCCUUAGAACCUGGGCCAUGAAAGGAGCAGGCAGAAAGAAAAGGAGUAGCUUAAAUCUUGGAGGGAUGCAAGUGUAAACAU
rnacentral:lncRNA from 1 species